GGCAGUGUAGCCCAGUAGAGUGGACACUUGAAUGAGACUCAGGAAACCUGGGUUCUAUUCCCAGCACUAUCC
rnacentral:tRNA from 1 species